rnacentral:rRNA from 1 species
GAUGAACGCUAGCGGCAGGCCUAACACAUGCAAGUCGAGGGGUAACAUGAAAAGCUUGCUUUUCUGAUGACGACCGGCGCACGGGUGCGUAACGCGUAUACAACCUACCUUUUAGCGGGGAAUAGCCCAGGGAAACUUGGAUUAAUGCCUCAUAGUAUAUAAGCUUCUCCUGAAGUUUAUAUUAAACAUUUAUGGCUAUUAGAUGGGUAUGCGUCCUAUUAGUUAGUUGGUAAGGUAACGGCUUACCAAGGCAGCGAUAGGUAGGGGUCCUGAGAGGGAGAUCCCCACACUGGUACUGAGACACGGACCAGACUCCUACGGGAGGCAGCAGUGAGGAAUAUUGGACAAUGGGCGAGAGCCUGAUCCAGCCAUGCCGCGUGCAGGAAGACUGCCCUAUGGGUUGUAAACUGCUUUUACAGAGGAAGAACCACCCCCACGUGUGGGGGUUUGACGGUACUCUGCGAAUAAGGAUCGGCUAACUCCGUG